UCUUGGGUGGCUCAGUCGGUUGAGCGUCUGACUUCAGCUCAGGCCAUGAUCUUGCAGCUUGUGGGUUCUAGUCCCAUGUCAGGCU
rnacentral:tRNA from 1 species